rnacentral:rRNA from 1 species
UACGUAGGGCGCAAGCGUUGUCCGGAAUUAUUGGGCGUAAAGAGCUCGUAGGUGGCUUGUCGCGUCUGCCGUGAAAGCCCAUGGCUUAACUGUGGGUCUGCGGUGGAUACGGGCAGGCUGGAGGCUGGUAGGGGCAAGCGGAAUUCCUGGUGUAGCGGUGAAAUGCGCAGAUAUCAGGAGGAACACCGGUGGCGAAGGCGGCAUCCUGGACCAACACUGACACUGAUGAGCGAAAGCCAGGGGAGCAAACGGG